GAUGAACGCUGGCGGCGUGCCUAAUACAUGCAAGUCGAGCGAACGGACGAGAAGCUUGCUUCUCUGAUGUUAGCGGCGGACGGGUGAGUAACACGUGGAUAACCUACCUAUAAGACUGGGAUAACUUCGGGAAGCCGUAGCUAAUACCGGAUAAUAUUUUGAACCGCAUGGUUCAAAAGUGAAAGACGGUCUUGCUGUCACUUAUAGAUGGAUCCGCGCUGCAUUAGCUAGUUGGUAAGGUAACGGCUUACCAAGGCAACGAUGCAUAGCCGACCUGAGAGGGUGAUCGGCCACACUGGAACUGAGACACGGUCCAGACUCCUACGGGAGGCAGCAGUAGGGAAUCUUCCGCAAUGGGCGAAAGCCUGACGGAGCGACGCCGCGUGAGUGAUGAAGGUCUUCGGAUCGUAAAACUCUGUUAUUAGGGAAGAACAUAUGUGUAAGUAACUGUGCACAUCUUGACGGUACCUAAUCAGAAAGCCACGGCUAACUACGUG
rnacentral:rRNA from 1 species